CCUUUAAAUACUCCUGUCGCACUUUGCAGAUUUCUCUUUUCUCUACCCGCUGCUCUGUGGAGGUUUUUCGUGCAAGCGCAAGCAAUGGGGAAACAUUCAGAACUGGACCAUCAUGCUACUGAACUGCCCAGUCACUUACUGGUUGACCACUUAGACAUCUGGUGCUGGGAUGACCUCAGACCAGCUGGGUUCAAGCAUCUUGAUUCAUUAACAUGAGGUCAUGGAUUUGGCAGAAAGGACUCGCUAACUUAUUCGAUAUGAGACUCUACUUCCUCUGCGUCAUGGCGGCAGGGUGACUUGCACAUGGAUCUGGGAGGCGUGUGGGUCUCAUGAGAUCCAAGAUUUGGGUUCAGCUGAAGCAGAGACUGCCUGAGUUGAAGACUCGGGACUCUUAGCAGAAAUGCAGAUUGAAGCUGACAUUGACCAGCUGAGGGGCGUCAGCACUGAUGCACAGAGUCUUGACUUCAGAUUAAAAUUUUGUAUAUAUACUUGGUGGUUUGUACAGACAGUAACCAAUAAAAUACCCCAAAAAAUCA